rnacentral:rRNA from 1 species
UAACGGCGAGUGAAGCGGCAACAGCUCAAAUUUGAAAUCUGGCCUCUUUGGGGUCCGAGUUGUAAUUUGUAGAGGAUGUUUCGGGCACCGCUCCGGUUUAAAUUUCUUGGAACAGAAUGUCAAAGAGGGUGAGAACCCCGUCUUGGACCGGCAGUAGGGCCCAUGUGAAACUCCUUCGACGAGUCGAGUUGUUUGGGAAUGCAGCUCAAAAUGGGUGGUAAAUUUCAUCUAAAGCUAAAUAUUGGCCAGAGACCGAUAGCGCACAAGUAGAGUGAUCGAAAGAUGAAAAGCACUUUGAAAAGAGAGUUAAACAGUACGUGAAAUUGUUGAAAGGGAAGCGCUUGCAACCAGACUUGCGCGCGGCGGUUCCCCCUUCCUUCUGGUUGGGUUAUUCCGCCGUGUCCAGGCCAACAUCGGUUCUGGGGGUCGGUUAAAGGCCUGGGGAAUGUAUCUACCCUUCGGGCGUAGACUUAUAGCCCCGGGUGUCAUGCGACCUCCCGGGACCGAGGAACGCGCUUCGGCUCGGAUGUUGGCGUAAUGGUUGUCAGCGACCCGUCUUGAAACACGGACCAAGGAGUCUAACAUCUAUGCGAGUGUUUGGGUGUCAAACCCGGAACGCGGAAUGAAAGUGAACGGAGGUAGGAAGCUUCGGCUGCACUAUCGACCGAUCCUGAUGUCUUCGGAUGGAUUUGAGUAAGAGCAUAGCUGUUGG